rnacentral:rRNA from 1 species
CCAUGUCGUAGUAGAGACGGUACCUAUGAGUAUGCAUAGGAAUCUACCUAGUAGUAUAGGAUAGCCACUAGAAGUGGUGGGUAAUACUGUAUAAUCCCUGCGGGGGAAAGAUUUAUCGCUACAUGAUGAGCCUAUGUUAGAUUAGCUAGUUGGUGGGGUAAUGGCCUACCAAGGCAGUGAUCUAUAGCUGGUCUGAGAGGAUGAUCAGCCACACUGGAACUGAGACACGGUCCAGACUCCUACGGGAGGCAGCAGUGGGGAAUAUUGGACAAUGGGCGCAAGCCUGAUCCAGCUAUGCCGCGUGAGUGAGGAAGGCCUUAGGGUUGUAAAACUCUUUCAGUAGGGAAGAUAAUGAGG